rnacentral:rRNA from 1 species
CAAUAGCGUAUAUUAAAGUUGUUGCAGUUAAAAAGCUCGUAGUUGGAUUUCUGGUGGGAGCGAUCGGUCUGGCGCUUAGCGCGAGUACUUGCAUCGUCUCCGGCCAUCCUUGGGGAGAGUCUGUCUGGCAUUAAGUUGUCGGGCAGAGGAUCCUCAUCGUUUACUGUGAAAAAAUUAGAGUGUUCAAAGCAGGCUUAUGCCGUUGAAUAUAUUAGCAUGGAAUAAUAAGAUAGGACUUUGGUACUAUUUUGUUGGUUUGCGCACCAAAGUAAUGAUUAAUAGGGACAGUUGGGGGUAUUCGUAUUCCGUUGUCAGAGGUGAAAUUCUUGGAUUUACGAAAGACGAACUACUGCGAAAGCAUUUACCAAGGAUGUUUUCAUUAA